CCUACGGGAGGCAGCAGUGGGGAAUAUUGCACAAUGGGGGGAACCCUGAUGCAGCGACGCCGCGUGAGUGAAGAAGUAUUUCGGUAUGUAAAGCUCUAUCAGCAGGGAAGAAGAUGACGGUACCUGACUAAGAAGCCCCGGCUAACUACGUGCCAGCAGCCGCGGGAAUACGUAGGGGGCAAGCGUUAUCCGGAUUUACUGGGUGUAAAGGGAGCGUGGACGGCAGGGCAAGUCUGGGUUGUAAGCCCGGGGCCCAAACCCGGGACUGCUUUGGAAACUGGCAUGCUAGAGUGCUGGAGAGGUAAGCGGAAUUCCUGGUGAAGCGGUGAAAUGCGUAGAUAUUAGGAGGAACACCAGUGGCGAAGGCAGCUUACUGGACAGUAACUGACGUUGAGGCUCGAAAGCGUGGGGAGCAAACAGGAUUAGAUACCCCAGUAGUC
rnacentral:rRNA from 1 species